UCUAAGGACCCUAGCGGUAGCCCACUCCCAAAAGAUCUGAUUUCCCUUAUACAUCUGAUCUUCCUACAAAAAAAAAAAAAAAAAAAAAAAAAAAAAAAAAGAGAAGCAGCCGCUGCUCAUCUUCUUCUCCUCAAGAAUCAAUCAAACUCAUCCAAAGAACUCCAUUAAUCUCACCUUGAGAGUUAGCAGCACCCCCACAAAAAUCCCACGUCUCAACCACCCUAGCUCCCUUGUCAAGCUUCAGCCGCGACCCCCCUCACUCUGAGAACAACCAGCCGCAACCUGCAAAGAAAGAAACAGACGAGAGAGAAAGUGAAAAUGGCGAAGCUCCAGCUCCAAUCACUGGAAAAGUAGCUACGGUUACUAUUAGAUGGACCAAUAUUACCUGCUUUCUCUCUGAUAAAUCCUCUAACACUGAAUUUGCUCUUCCAGAGGACACUAUAUUGGAAAAGAAAAUCAUCACUACCAGGCGUGGUAUCCGAGAAUUGUAUCGCAUCAGAGUAAAGGGUCAACACCCCAAGGCAGCUAAAUCGUUCCCAAAAGAAACUGGACAAAAACAGUUUCCUGAUCUUCGGUUAUAAAGAACCAACAUGAGCUGGUUCUUACGGAAGAAGUGAAUAAUGGUGGUAAUGGAUAUGCGACAUGUUAGAGGACGGUUAUAGGAGAUCUUACUAUUAUUUAAAUCCCACUUUUGCCAUUUUGUAUCCCAUCUGGAAAAAAACUCAAGAAUACUUCUUACUAAGCAAAAUAAAGAUCUCAAGGAAGAAGCAAUCUCAAUAAGAAUUAAUUAUCUUGGCUUUCUCUGCA